CAGAACCUCUAUAUAACAGAGAUAAGAGUCGGUCUUUCAAUAGAGACUGGCGACUUAUUCCAGCAACAAGAUGAAGUUUCUGCUUGCCGUGUGUGUAUUUGCUACUGUCCUGUUCAUGGUCAAUGCUCAAACAACUAAUUCAACCGCUUCUACUGAUAACGCGACCAGCCCAGAUAGGAGUACAGGCAAUCCAGUUACAUCCGUUUCGCCAUUCUUUAUCAUGGCGUCCUGCGUUGUGGCCAUUGCUCAGGCGUUGUCACCGUAGAAGAAAGCAACAGAAAAACUAGCAUCUAAAAAGCACGUGCCUUGUAAUAGGACUAUUGGGCCAUCUUAUUAGCGAUUGUUUCGUACGAUCGUGUUUUUUUUAAUCCUUUAUUUUUUGUUGUAACGAGCUUUAGAACAAAUAGAUUUUGGACUUUCGUAGAUUUAUAAUAUAUAUCGUAUAUUUUUUAUAAUAUUAUGUCGGACACUCGCUUAUUAUUCGCCUAGAACUGGUGCUCUUACGACAUUUCUCGAUAUUUUGUCGUACGCUUGUUGAUAAGAUGGCCACUUUGUGUGCACGUGCAAGCUGUGCUCUUAGCUUAAUGACAAUUCAUAUAUACGGACAGUUGCUACUAGUGUACCGUAGUUUUUCUUACACUAUUCUGUACGACUUAGUUAAAUAUUAAGUGCUUUCUUCUUUCGCAUAGAUGCUGUGCAUGCGAUGACGAAAACUGUCGGUAAUAAGAUACUCUGUUUUCCGAAUGUCAACAUCUUUCUUAUUGUUCCUGUGUUUUAUAAAAUAAAAUGCUAAACUUAC